UCCAUGUGUGCACACAGGGUAGAUCUCUGA
rnacentral:piRNA from 2 species